CCUACGGGAGGCAGCAGUGGGGAAUAUUGCGCAAUGGGCGAAAGCCUGACGCAGCGACGCCGCGUGAGGGAUGAAGGUCUUCGGAUCGUAAACCUCUGUCAGCAGGGAAGAACGGUCACUGUGCUAAUCAGCAGUGAAUUGACGGUACCUGCAAAGGAAGCACCGGCUAACUCCGUGCCAGCAGCCGCGGUAAUACGGAGGGUGCGAGCGUUAAUCGGAAUUACUGGGCGUAAAGCGCUCGUAGGCGGUAUGUCAAGUCAAGGGUGAAAUCCCCGCGCUCAACGUGGGAACUGCCUUUGAAACUGGCAAACUGGAGUGUGCGAGAGGAUAGUGGAAUUCCAGGUGUAGGAGUGAAAGCCGUAGAUAUCUGGAGGAACAUCAGUGGCGAAGGCGACUAUCUGGCACAUAACUGACGCUGAGGAGCGAAAGCGUGGGUAGCAAACAGGAUUAGAUACCCCAGUAGUC
rnacentral:rRNA from 1 species